UACGAAGGGGGCUAGCGUUGCUCGGAAUCACUGGGCGUAAAGGGUGCGUAGGCGGGUCUUUUAAGUCAGGGGUGAAAUCCUGGAGCUCAACUCCAGAACUGCCUUUGAUACUGAAGAUCUUGAGUUCGGGGAGAGGUGAGUGGAACUGCGAGUGUAGAGGUGAAAAUUUCGUAGAUAUUCGCAAGAACACCAGUGGCGAAGGCGGCUCACUGGCCCGAUACUGACGCUGAGGCACGAAAGCGUGGGGAGCAAACAGGG
rnacentral:rRNA from 1 species